rnacentral:rRNA from 1 species
GACGAACGCUGGCGGCGUGCCUAAUACAUGCAAGUAGAACGCUGAAGGAGGAGCUUGCUUCUCUGGAUGAGUUGCGAACGGGUGAGUAACGCGUAGGUAACCUGCCUGGUAGCGGGGGAUAACUAUUGGAAACGAUAGCUAAUACCGCAUAAGAGUAGAUGUUGCAUGACAUUUGCUUAAAAGGUGCAAUUUCAUCACUACCAGAUGGACCUGCGUUGUAUUAGCUAGUUGGUGGGGUAACGGCUUACCAAGGCGACGAUACAUAGCCGACCUGAGAGGGUGAUCGGCCACACUGGGACUGAGACACGGCCCAGAAUCCUACGGGAGGCAGCAGUAGGGAACCUUCGGCAAUGGACGGAAGUCUGACCGAGCAACGACGCGUGAGUGAAGAAGGUUUUCGGAUCGUAAAGCUCGGUUGUAAGAGAAGAACGAGUGUGAGAGUGGAAAGUUCACACUGUGACGGUAUCUUACCAGAAAGGGACGGCUAACUACGUG